UGCGGUGCAUUAGCUAGUUGGUAAGGUAACGGCUUACCAAGGCAAUGAUGCAUAGCCGAGUUGAGAGACUGAUCGGCCACAUUGGGACUGAGACACGGCCCAAACUCCUACGGGAGGCAGCAGUAGGGAAUCUUCCACAAUGGACGCAAGUCUGAUGGAGCAACGCCGCGUGAGUGAAGAAGGGUUUCGGCUCGUAAAGCUCUGUUGGUAGUGAAGAAAGAUAGAGGUAGUAACUGGCCUUUAUUUGACGGUAAUUACCUAGAAAGUCACGGCUAACUACGUGCCAGCAGCCGCGGUAAUACGUAGGUGGCAAGCGUUGUCCGGAUUUAUUGGGCGUAAAGCGAGUGCAGGCGGUUCAAUAAGUCUGAUGUGAAAGCCUUCGGCUCAACCGGAGAAUUGCAUCAGAAACUGUUGAACUUGAGUGCAGAAGAGGAGAGUGGAACUCCAUGUGUAGCGGUGGAAUGCGUAGAUAUAUGGAAGAACACCAGUGGCGAAGGCGGCUCUCUGGUCUGCAACUGACGCUGAGGCUCGAAAGCAUGGGUAGCGAACAGGAUUAGAUACCCUGGUAGUCCAUGCCGU
rnacentral:rRNA from 1 species